AGGCCUACCAAGGCGACGAUCAGUAGCUGGUCUGAGAGGACGAUCAGCCACACUGGGACUGAGACACGGCCCAGACUCCUACGGGAGGCAGCAGUGGGGAAUUUUGGACAAUGGGCGAAAGCCUGAUCCAGCAAUGCCGCGUGUGUGAAGAAGGCCUUCGGGUUGUAAAGCACUUUUGUCCGGAAAGAAAUGGCUCUGGUUAAUACCUGGGGUCGAUGACGGUACCGGAAGAAUAAGGACCGGCUAACUACGUGCCAGCAGCCGCGGUAAUACGUAGGGUCCAAGCGUUAAUCGGAAUUACUGGGCGUAAAGCGUGCGCAGGCGGUUGUGCAAGACCGAUG
rnacentral:rRNA from 1 species